CAGUCUUGGCGGUGGAUCACUCGGCUCGUGUGUCGAUGAAGAGCGCAGCAAACUGCGAUACUUAAUGUGAAUUGCAGGUUACACUGAACAUCGAAAUCUCGAACGCACAUUGCGGCUUUUGGUCCAAACCAUUAGCCACGUCUG
rnacentral:rRNA from 1 species